rnacentral:rRNA from 1 species
UGCAGUCGAACGCUUCUUUUUCCACCGGAGCUUGCUCCACCGGAAAAAGAAGAGUGGCGAACGGGUGAGUAACACGUGGGUAACCUGCCCAUCAGAAGGGGAUAACACUUGGAAACAGGUGCUAAUACCGUAUAACAAUCAAAACCGCAUGGUUUUGAUUUGAAAGGCGCUUUCGGGUGUCGCUGAUGGAUGGACCCGCGGUGCAUUAGCUAGUUGGUGAGGUAACGGCUCACCAAGGCCACGAUGCAUAGCCGACCUGAGAGGGUGAUCGGCCACAUUGGGACUGAGACACGGCCCAAACUCCUACGGGAGGCAGCAGUAGGGAAUCUUCGGCAAUGGACGAAAGUCUGACCGAGCAACGCCGCGUGAGUGAAGAAGGUUUUCGGAUCGUAAAACUCUGUUGUUAGAGAAGAACAAGGAUGAGAGUAACUGUUCAUCCCUUGACGGUAUCUAACCAGAAAGCCACGGCUAACUACGUGCCAGCAGCCGCGGUAAUACGUAGGUGGCAAGCGUUGUCCGGAUUUAUUGGGCGUAAAGCGAGCGCAGGCGGUUUCUUAAGUCUGAUGUGAAAGCCCCCGGCUCAACCGGGGAGGGUCAUUGGAAACUGGGAGACUUGAGUGCAGAAGAGGAGAGUGGAAUUCCAUGUGUAGCGGUGAAAUGCGUAGAUAUAUGGAGGAAC